rnacentral:rRNA from 1 species
CUAGUUGGUAAGGUAACGGCUUACCAAGGCUACGAUGUUUAGGGGAUCUGAGAGGAUGACCCCCCACACUGGUACUGAGACACGGACCAGACUCCUACGGGAGGCAGCAGUAAGGAAUAUUGGUCAAUGGGCGCAAGCCUGAACCAGCCAUGCCGCGUGCAGGAAGACGGCCCUACGGGUUGUAAACUGCUUUUAUACGGGAAUAAACCUACUUACGUGUAAGUAGCUGAAUGUACUGUAAGAAUAAGGAUCGGCUAACUCCGUGCCAGCAGCCGCGGUAAUACGGAGGAUCCAAGCGUUAUCCGGAUUUAUUGGGUUUAAAGGGUGCGUAGGCGGCCAAUUAAGUCAGGGGUGAAAGACGGUAGCUUAACUAUCGCAGUGCCUUUGAUACUGAUUGGCUUGAAUAUACUUGAGGUAGGCGGAAUGUGACAAGUAGCGGUGAAAUGCAUAGAUAUGUCACAGAACACCAAUUGCGAAGGCAGCUUACUAAAGUAUGAUUGACGCUGAGGCACGAAAGCGUGGGGAUCAAACAGGAUUAGAUACCCUGGUAGUCCACGCCCUAAACGAUGAACACUCGAUGUUGGCGAUAUACGGUCAGCGUCUAAGCGAAAGCGUUAAGUGUUCCACCUGGGGAGUACGCCCGCAAGGGUGAAACUCAAAGGAAUUGACG